AGGUGCGAUCAUACCAACACUAAUGCACCGGAUCCCAUCAGAACUCCGCAGCUAAGCGUGCUCGGGCGAGAGUAGUAGUAGGAUGGGUGACCUCCUGUGAAGUCCUCGUGUUGCACUUC
rnacentral:rRNA from 1 species